rnacentral:lncRNA from 1 species
AGUUCUUGGGUCUGUGCUGCUGGCCUGGGGUUGUGGUUGAGGCCGGGUCUCCGCUCCUGUGCCCGGGAAGAUGGUGCUAGGUGGUUGCCCGAAUCACGCCAUUUUUUAACAUCUCUUUUUGAUCAAACAAGAAAAGGCAUUUGGGAAAUGCAAAGAGGACUGAGAAUACUUUGGCUUAAAUUUUGCCCCCAGAAUCUUGUUGUUUGCCUACUGAAGAGAUGAAACCAUGGCAGAAGUAGAAUCCUUAUAGAAACAGGACCAGAAACACCUCCCUUCUCCAACAAAAGGUUCAUUUUGGUGGCUGUCCGUUUGACCUGCUGUGCUUCAGUUUAAUUGGCUUGGAAAGGGGUCAGCAGGGUGAAACCGAACCCCAGAAAACUUGAUGAAGAAAUGUCUUUUGCCCGUUUUGAUUACGUGCAUGCAAACAGCGAUUUGCAAAGACCGUAUGAUGAUGAUCAUGAUCUUACUGGUGAAUUACAGACCUGAUGAAUUUAUAGAAUGUGAAGACCCAGUGGAUCAUGUUGGAAAUGCAACUGCAUCCCAGGAACUUGGUUAUGGUUGUCUCAAGGU